AUUGAACGCUGGCGGCAUGCCUUACACAUGCAAGUCGAACGGCAGCGGGCCUUCGGGUGCCGGCGAGUGGCGAACGGGUGAGUAAUGCAUCGGAACGUGCCAUUGAGUGGGGGAUAACGUAGCGAAAGUUACGCUAAUACCGCAUAUUCUGUGAGCAGGAAAGCAGGGGACCGCAAGGCCUUGCGCUCUUUGAGCGGCCGAUGUCAGAUUAGCUAGUUGGUGAGGUAAAGGCUUACCAAGGCGACGAUCUGUAGCGGGUCUGAGAGGAUGAUCCGCCACACUGGAACUGAGACACGGUCCAGACUCCUACGGGAGGCAGCAGUGGGGAAUUUUGGACAAUGGGCGCAAGCCUGAUCCAGCCAUGCCGCGUGAGUG
rnacentral:rRNA from 1 species